CCUACGGUGGGCUGCAGUGGGGAAUAUUGGACAAUGGGGGCAACCCUGAUCCAGCCAUGCCGCGUGUGUGAAGAAGGCCCUCGGGUUGUAAAGCACUUUCAGUGAGGAAGAACGCCUGGUGGUUAAUACCCAUCAGGAAAGACAUCACUCACAGAAGAAGCACCGGCUAACUCCGUGCCAGCAGCCGCGGUAAUACGGAGGGUGCGAGCGUUAAUCGGAAUUACUGGGCGUAAAGCGCGCGUAGGUGGCUUGAUAAGCCGGUUGUGAAAGCCCCGGGCUCAACCUGGGAACGGCAUCCGGAACUGUCAAGCUAGAGUGCAGGAGAGGAAGGUAGAAUUCCCGGUGUAGCGGUGAAAUGCGUAGAGAUCGGGAGGAAUACCAGUGGCGAAGGCGGCCUUCUGGACUGACACUGACACUGAGGUGCGAAAGCGUGGGUAGCAAACAGGAUUAGAUACCCUGGUAGUC
rnacentral:rRNA from 1 species